UACAGAUUCAAUUAAUGGCCAUUUUUUUUUUCAAACGAAUAAUCCUUAUGUAGAAAAAUAAAUAGGAAGUAGGAAUAGGAAGUACGAUUUCAACUUCUCUGAUGGAUGAUGUUAAAGUGUACCAUUGUCGUACGCCAGUACCAGUCCUGACAUUCACGGAGCCUUGGCAGGACUACAUACUCGGCGGAACUCAGGAGAAAUAAGUUCUCGAAUUACCAUUCCUCUGACGAGAAGGCAAGAUUUUCUACCAGGACAUCGCAGACUCUUUAAUAGAUCUUUAUAAUAAGGCUUGGAAUGACAUGAUGAAUGAUGAUGAAUGAAUUAAUGAAAUGAUGAAUUAAUUGAAAUAUUGUUGCAUAUAUAUAAUAUAACAGAGCAUUCAAAACUAAACAUAAGACAG